rnacentral:rRNA from 1 species
GAUGAACGCUAGCGGCAGGCUUAACACAUGCAAGUCGAGGGGCAGCACGUCUUCGGAUGGUGGCGACCGGCGCACGGGUGCGUAACGCGUAUAGAACCUACCUUUUACAGGGGAAUAGCCCAGAGAAAUUUGGAUUAAUGCCCCAUAGUAUUAUUAGAUGGCAUCAUUUGGUAAUUAAACAUUUAUGGGUAAAAGAUGGCUAUGCGUUCUAUUAGCUAGAUGGUAAGGUAACGGCUUACCAUGGCGACGAUAGAUAGGGGUCCUGAGAGGGAGAUCCCCCACACUGGUACUGAGACACGGACCAGACUCCUACGGGAGGCAGCAGUGAGGAAUAUUGGACAAUGGGCGAGAGCCUGAUCCAGCCAUGCCGCGUGCAGGAAGACGGUCCUAUGGAUUGUAAACUGCUUUUAUACAGGAAGAAACACUCCCUCGUGAGGGAAUUUGACGGUACUGUAUGAAUAAGCACCGGCUAACUCCGUGCCAGCAGCCG